GUGAAUCAUCGAAUUUUUGAACGCAAAUUGCACUCUCUGGUAUUCCGGGGAGUAUGCCUGUUUGAGGGUCGUUAGUAUAAAAAAUCGAGGCGUCGCUCUUUUUUUUUUGGGUGUUCGUUUGGGAAUUGAGCAGUCUUUCAAAUGUUAAUUCAUGUCAAAGUGGCUUAAAAUUCAUCAAUCCGGUACGAUUAAAGCGUCUUUAAGAUAAAUUUUGAUUAAGAA
rnacentral:misc_RNA from 1 species